AUUGAACGCUGGCGGCAGGCCUAACACAUGCAAGUCGAACGAGUGGCGGACGGGUGCGUAAUGUCUGGGAAACUGCCUGAUGGAGGGGGAUAACUACGGGAAACGGUAGCUAAUACAGCAUACCAUCAGAUUUGCCCAGAUGGGAUUAGCUAGUAGGUGGGUUAACGGCUCACCUAGGCGACGCACCCUAGCUGGUCUGCGAGGAUGACCAGCCACCCUGGAAACGAGACACGGUCCAGACUCCUACGGGAGGCAGCAGUGGGGAAGAUUGCACAAUGGGCGCAAGACGGAUGCAGCCAUGCCGCGUGUAUGAAGAAGGCCGUCGGGUUGUAAAGUACUUUCAGCGGGGAGGCGUUACCCGCAGAAGAAGCACCGGCUAACUCCGUGCCAGCAGCCGCGGUAAUUC
rnacentral:rRNA from 1 species